rnacentral:misc_RNA from 1 species
CUCUUAAUUGGAUGCUGAGACACAUGCUUGCAGCCUUGACAUUGCAGCCUCAGAACAAUCUUCUUAGUAGUUUUGGCCUUCUUGUGAAAAACAGGCUUUGUCUGACCUCCAUAACCUGACUGCUUGCGAUCAUAACGCCUUUUCCCUUGUGCAGCAAGGCUAUCCUUGCCCUUCUUGUAUUGUGUAACCUUAUGCAAAGU